rnacentral:tRNA from 1 species
AGCUCUGUGGAGCAAUGGAUAGUGUGUUGGACUUCCAGACUGUGAGCGGAGCUAUUCAAAGGUUGUGGGUUCGAGUCCCACCAGAGUUA